UGGAGUCUACGAACAACGACAUGUAGAAACAGUCGACGACAAGGACAUAGGACUAGGUAGAACGGAGAGAUGGUGGCAUGUGGGACAGAAGCGGUAGGGUUUGGAAGGAGAAGAAGAAGAAACAGGAGAAGGGAAAAAGGUUGGGGAAAAGAUGUGGAGGGGAAACGACACUGAUUUUAAGAGGGAAAGGAGAAGGGAAAG
rnacentral:lncRNA from 1 species